rnacentral:misc_RNA from 1 species
CGUGCUCCCAUACCUCUAGUCGUGUGGAUCAACGUCGACAAAGCUAGAUAACUAUUGGGCCAAUCUAUUGGACUUGCGUUUGUGUACAAAAUAAUGUGUGGUUACUCCACUUCCAACCACAGAUGAUGCGGGCACAGUGUGUAAUGCAGCCUGCGGCCUUAGCACAGAGCUGUAUUAGCAGUCCGACGAAUUUGACGGAUCCACACUUCACGUCAUUUGCAGUUGUGAUUGAGGAAUGCUACUUAUGUGUUUCUUGUCUCGCUGGGAUGGCUGUUCACGUUUAAUAAGUUGUACUAGUAAUUUGUAGCAGCUGCUGAUAAGGAACUGAUUCCUAGCAAUCAGGAGGACUGGUACCAUAUCUUGAAGGGCACCUGAAAGCUGGACAAGAUGAUCUGAUGAAGCGAUACCUAUCUCAAGGAAACUGUGCCAGUUACCACUAUCCUACUGAAUUAAAAGAAGUGGAAGUCUCUAGUACAUGUACCCUGACUCCCCAUGCAGAAUAAACAGUACAACCAACAGAUUUAGACUGGCAACCCAGUUAAAGGUUUUUAUUAUUAAAUCCAAGAAGCAGAGAGGGAUCGUUAUCACAUUGAUCCAUCCCACAUAUAUAUCAGGGAGCUUGAUGACACAUGCUGACAGUAGUACCUUGAUAACGAAACACGGGAGCAAGGAACUCCAAGGAAGAUUUCAGUGCUGUCUGGGUCACCGAACGUCUCCAGGCAGUUACUCUGUGUUGUCAGCUGGAGCUUUGAGGAACUUUGAGGGGGGAAAGAAGACGUCGCCAUGGCGGCAGAGAGUUGUCCAUCGGUGAUGCUCAUCACUGCAAAUGUGGGAUCAAUAUUUGAAGACCCGGAGCACAUGCUGAAGGGCUGGCUCCAGAAAUUCUACGAGUCAGUACAGACAUGGAAACCUCAGCUAAUAGCAAUUCAUAUGCAAGAGGUCGGCGGCAAAGAUUUUGAGCAGUGCAUGGGCAAUGUCGACGCUUUUGUACAGAAUUUAAUAGACAGUGAGGCACUCAAGUCUUUUGAUCGGACCCUGGUGUUUCUUGACAAAGAUUUCGCUCUGGUUGACCAGUUUACGGCACUUGGUAAUUUGUACUUUGUUCAUGAGUCUCUACAGAAUGUACAGCUGUAUGACUUCAAAACAUGCAAGUUCAACACAAUUCAGGGCAAGCAGUUUGUAAAUUUGAUAAACAAAAAGACAAUAUAUGAGAAAGCCAAGUUCCCUCAGGACUUCUUCCCAGGGACAGUCUGGUCAAGAAAGGGUUUCCUCAGAACGAGAUGGAAUGUAGAAAACAGGAUAUUUGAUCUUGCCAAUAUUCACCUCUUCCAUGAUGCAUCCAACUUGGCAGCUAUGGAAACGUUUCCCUCACCGUACAGUAAAUACAGGAAAAGAGCACUGGAGCACGUGUUACAGAGAUUCUCCAAGGACAAACAUGACAAAGUUCCCCUGUUCCUCUUUGGUGAUUUCAACUUCAGGUUGGACUCACAAGGGGUGAUCCAGGCUCUUGUUGCCGAGGCAAUACCUGAGUACACAAAGGAAGACAAGAACGUGAAGAGAAUAACAUACAAGGACCGCGAUGGCAGUAGUAAGGCAAUACUCAUCCUUGAGAAAAAGAGAUUUGAGAUUGAUGACCCAGACAAGUUAAUCAGAGACAACGCUAAGUGGCUUCUUCCGCUUGACAAGGAACUUUUGUGUUUCACCAACCAACUCUUCGAGUUUGACAGAGAUUUUCCGCCAAGUUACCCCUACAGUGAAGAUGUCACUGAUGGCCGGAGUUACAUGAAGACGCGAGUCCCCGCAUGGUGCGAUCGCAUCCUGCUGUCAAAGUCAGCCAAGGCCCUCGUCAAAGAGGACCUCUACAAUAAGGCCAUGUACAGUGUAAUUGGUCAAGACAUAUGCAUGGGUGAUCACAAGCCAAUCUUUUUAAGUUUCCGGCUCGCUCCAACUCAAGGUACGCCAGUAAACCAUAAACGUUCCCCUGCUCAUAAGUGUUGUGUGGUACAGUAGAUCGCCCGUCCCUUUGAUGUCUUCCUGUUUUGCUGCACUGUUUUUCUGUUUGCCCACAGUGAAUGAAGACACCCAGGAAACCUGAUUAUUGUGCUCUCGUGCCACACAGUCAUUGACUCCAUACUACAAA